GACGAACGCUGGCGGCGUGCUUAACACAUGCAAGUCGAACGGUAAGGCCCUUCGGGGUACACGAGUGGCGAACGGGUGAGUAACACGUGGGUGAUCUGCCCUGCACUUCGGGAUAAGCCUGGGAAACUGGGUCUAAUACCGGAUAGGACCCUGGGAUGCAUGUCCUGGGGUGGAAAGCUUUUGCGGUGUGGGAUGGGCCGGCGGCCUUUCAGUUUGUUGGUGGGGUGAUGGCCUACCAAGGCGACGACGGGUAGCCGGCCUGAGAGGGUGACCGGCCACACUGGGACUGAGAUACGGCCCAGACUCCUACGGGAGGCAGCAGUGGGGAAUAUUGCACAAUGGGCGCAAGCCUGAUGCAGCGACGCCGCGUGAGGGAUGACGGCCUUCGGGUUGUAAACCUCUUUCAGCACCGACGAAGCGCAAGUGACGGUAGGUGCAGAAGAAGGACCGGCCAACUACGUGCCAGCCGCCGCCGUUA
rnacentral:rRNA from 1 species